rnacentral:rRNA from 1 species
AUGCAAUUAUUCAACGACUGGAUCGCGGAGCUGGGGCUUCGUGAGCUUGACCGGACAGGUGCCAGAUUCACCUGGACCAACCGGCAAGCUGUCCCGACACAAUCCGUGCUGGAUCGUGUCCUAGUUUCCCCGGAGUGGGAAUUGCGAUGCCCUCUGGCGUCGCUCCGGGCGGUUACCCAGAUUGGUUCCGACCAUGUCCCCCUUCUCCUCUCCACCGCUGACGAGCGCCCCCCCUUCCCGCCGCGGUUCCGGUUCGAGCUCUUCUCGCUCAACCAGACUGGCUUCCGGGAGGCCGUCGUCGCCCGCUGGAUCUCCGCUAGGUCGGCACCCCACCGCUCCAUGUCUGCGGUCGACUCUUGGCACUUUUGUGCCAAGCUAGCCUGCCAGUUCAUGAAGGGUUGGGGGGCUAAUUUAGGCCGGGACCUGAGAGAGCGCAAGAAGUCCAUCUUGGUGGCUAUUCAAGCUCUGGAUGCGCGUGCGGACUCGACCGGGCUCUCCUCGGACGAGUGGCUGCUUCGCUACGACCUGGAGGACCAGCUCUCCAUCAUCUACUCGGAUGAGGAGGCUUACUGGCGCCUGCGGGGUACCCAGAGGUGGGUGCUUCAGGGCGAUGCCAACACCGCCUACUUCCAGGCGGUCGCGAACGGCCGGCGUCGCCGCAACUCCAUCCACUGCCUGUGGGAUGGGGGCGCGCAGUUAGUGCUGCCCAAGGCCAUCCGCCUUCAUGUG